AGAAACUUAGGUUCACUCCAAACCGAAGGCCUUCAAAGCCUUAAACAAGAGUUAAACUCUCUUAGUUUCUG
rnacentral:tRNA from 1 species